rnacentral:misc_RNA from 1 species
UUUCCGUUGGUGAACCUGCGGAAGGAUCAUUAUUGUAUAACAGAAGUGAGAGGGCUGUGGCUACCCCGACAGGUGGUGCACGCGCGAGUGCCCUCACACCCCUCCAUCUCCCCCCUUUGUACAACCCCGCGUGGGUCCCCAUUAUGCUUGUUAGGGUUGGAGGUUACGUUUUCAAACAUUCUAUGACUGAAGUGUUGGAUGUAUUUUUUGUUUUUGCGAUCACGCAAUCAAAACAACUUUCAACAACGGCUAUCUUGUCUCUGGGAUCGAUGAAGCACG